GUCCUGUCCAACUCUUUGUGACCCCAUGGACUGCAGCAUGCCAGGCUUCUGGGUCAAUCACCAACUCCCUAGAGCUUGCUCAAAACUUGCAAGCAGUUAUUUUUAGUCCUUUAGUUUCUUUAUAUUCUGUUGCUCAAGCAGACAUUUGUCCACAUGCAAACACUGUAGCAAAGGGUCCCAAGUCCUCAGUCUCUCUCAUUCCCCCGCUGUGAGCUUUUGCACCCCUUAUUUUUAAGGGUUAAGGGGCUGAAGUUUUCCUCUUCUGAAGCAUCUUCUGGCUGGACAAGGGGUCUCAGACCCUAGCUUACAUUAGAGGUUUAGAAGUCCCUUGCUGACUGUUUCAAGGACAUGUAGGGACCUGGGCCACCCUCUGCUGGAAUGGAUUGAAACCCUUGAGUCAUAAUGAGCCUAACUUGAAAUUGCUGGAGCCUAGAAGAUACAAAGUUAACCAAAAGAUUAACCAGACAAGAGCCGAAAAAAGCCACUAACGGGCCUAGAAAUGGAAGAAACCAAGUUAACUUUGGGAGUAGGGCUCCUGUCAGUGUUGACCAGACAGUGAGAUUGUGUUGCUCUUGCCACAAUUGUGACGCCGUUCUGCAUGGGCACUGUGACAGAGUUUGGAGAUUUAGACAGAAGUUGUCCAUCGUCUUGCUUGGCUCUAGCUGGAAGAUGGUACUUUAGAUGGAUAUUCAGAUCUUGUCCCAAGACGGUUCCUGAAAAUGUUGACAUGUUUUAACAGGAUGAUUACAGGUUGAUGUUGAAAGCUUUCUCCACAGGCAGCAGGUUCUCUGGGUGUGCGUGCAGCCAUUGGGCAUCCCAGCCGGCAAGCUCAAUAAGGAAGACCAGUCAUUGAGCAAAACUGUUUGAGGCAUUUUGGGUGGUUCAUUGUUCCUUGAGGAUUCUGAAACUGGAUGCACAACUCUAUAUAAGAAAUAAACGUUUUUUCCUUCCUGUGGUUCAUUGUGCAUUGUGGAUGGGUGCCUG
ensembl:lncRNA